rnacentral:rRNA from 1 species
GACGAACGCUGGCGGCGUGCCUAACACAUGCAAGUCGAGCGGUCUCGCCUAUAGCAAAAGGCCUUCGGGCUUCGAGCAAAGGCGAGAUAGCGGCGGACGGGUGAGUAACGCGUGGCUUAUCUGUCCCAGGGAGGGGGAGUAACGUCUGGAAACGGGCGCUAAUACCCCACUAUGCCGGUGAGGUAAAAAGGAGAAAUCCGCCCUGGGGUGAGGCCGCGUCCUAUCAGCUAGUUGGUGAGGUAACGGCCCACCAAGGCUAUGACGGGUAGCCGGCCUGAGAGGGCGGCUGGCCACACUGGGAUUGAGAUACGGCCCAGACUCCUACGGGAGGCAGCAGUGGGGAAUAUUGGGCAAUGGGGGAAACCCUGACCCAGCGACGCCGCGUGGAGGAAGGAGCCCUUCGGGUGUAAACUCCUGUUGUAAGGGAAGAAGAUCUGACGGUACCUUACGAGGAAGCCCCGGCAAACUACGUG